GUUGAAGGCUUCAAAGCCUCAUGGCAUUAGAAAGUUGAAGACAUCAUUUGAGGAUGAUUUGCUUCGAAUUGAAAGAAUGCCUGAAAUUGUCGGUAUCUCUGAUGCUCCAUCUGUGAGCAGUGAUGACCCUAACGGUUGGCAUGUACAGAUAUUUCGUUCAAUUGACUCGAACUCGGUCAAAGGCUUUCCAAAGGAUCCUAAAGAAGCUACAAUGAAGAACUUGGUGUGUGGUAAAAAUGUACUUAUUGACAUGAGCAUACACACAGCAUAUGUGAAGGCUAUCCGUGCUGCUCAACACUUCGUUUACAUCGAAAAUCAAUAUUUCAUUGGUUCUUCAUACAACUGGAGUCAACAUAAAGAUGUUGGUGCAAAUAAUCUGAUUCCCAUGGAAAUUGCACUUAAAAUAGCUGAAAAGAUAAGAGCGCAUGAGAGGUUUG
rnacentral:misc_RNA from 1 species